UACGUAGGCAGCGAGCGUUGUUCGGAGUUACUGGGCGUAAAGGGUGUGUAGGCGGUUGUUUAAGUUUGGUGUGAAAUCUCCCGGCUCAACUGGGAGGGUGCGCCGAAUACUGAGCGACUAGAGUGCGGGAGAGGAAAGUGGAAUUCCUGGUGUAGCGGUGAAAUGCGUAGAUAUCAGGAGGAACACCGGUGGUGUAGACGGCUUUCUGGACCGUAACUGACGCUGAGACACGAAAGUGUGGGGAUCAAACAGG
rnacentral:rRNA from 1 species